AGAGUUUGAUCAUGGCUCAGGACGAACGCUGGCGGCGUGCCUAAUACAUGCAAGUAGAACGCUGAAGUCUGGUGCUUGCACCGGAUGGAUGAGUUGCGAACGGGUGAGUAACGCGUAGGUAACCUACCUCAUAGCGGGGGAUAACUAUUGGAAGCGAUAGCUAAUACCGCAUAAUAGUCAUUAACACAUGUUAGAGACUUGAAAGGGGCAAUUGCUUCACUAUGAGAUGGACCUGCGUUGUAUUAGCUAGUUGGUGAGGUAAAGGCUCACCAAGGCGACGAUACAUAGCCGACCUGAGAGGGUGAUCGGCCACACUGGGACUGAGACACGGCCCAGACUCCUACGGGAGGCAGCAGUAGGGAAUCUUCGGCAAUGGGGGGAACCCUGACCGAGCAACGCCGCGUGAGUGAAGAAGGUUUUCGGAUCGUAAAGCUCUGUUGUUAGAGAAGAACGUGUGUGAGAGUGGAAAGUUCACACAGUGACGGUAACUAACCAGAAAGGGACGGCUAACUACGUGCCAGCAGCCGCGGUAAUACGUAGGUCCCGAGCGUUGUCCGGAUUUAUUGGGCGUAAAGCGAGCGCAGGCGGUUCUGUAAGUCUGAAGUUAAAGGCAGUGGCUUAACCAUUGUACGCUUUGGAAACUGCAGGACUUGAGUGCAGAAGGGGAGAGUGGAAUUCCAUGUGUAGCGGUGAAAUGCGUAGAUAUAUGGAGGAACACCGGUGGC
rnacentral:rRNA from 1 species